rnacentral:rRNA from 1 species
UACGUAGGGGGCUAGCGUUGUCCGGAAUCAUUGGGCGUAAAGCGCGUGUAGGCGGUUCGGUAAGUCCGCUGUGAAAAUCGGGGGCUCAACCCUCGGAUGCCGGUGGAUACUGUCGGACUAGAGUACAGAAGGGGCAACUGGAAUUCUCGGUGUAGCGGUGAAAUGCGUAGAUAUACGGAGGAACACCUGCGGCGAAGGCGGGUAGCUGGGCCAACACUGACGCUGAGACGCGAAAGCUAGGGGAGCAAACGGG